ACCAUUGAACGCACAAUGUUCGUCAAAAUUGACGCUUGAGGACGCUAGUCCUCUAGGGUGGCUUACCACUUUUAUUACUACGCCCAAUGCGUUAUGAUUAGGGUCGUAUACUUACACAGAACCCUUUGAGAGCGGGAGGAGGGGAGCUACGAUCACAGAUGACCGUGAUUGCGACGGUCUAAUGCUUGGCGAACAAAUUGAAAAAUAUUUGCCGCUCAUUAAUCCUUGAUCCCACCGCGGGAGUUACCAGACCUGUAACCUGUGUAAACGUUUGUAACGUUCUUGUGAUACCAAAUAAACUGCUAAUCCACCAAAAACGACUAACAUAAGUCCGAUUACAUUAAUUAAUAUCGCCUCGUCUACAAGGUUUGGAUAAUUAU